rnacentral:rRNA from 1 species
ACGGAAGGCAGCAGUGGGGAAUAUUGCACAAUGGGGGAAACCCUGAUGCAGCAACGCCACGUGUGGGAAGAAGCAUUUCGGUGUGUAAACCACUGUCGUGAAGGAAUAAUGCUGGACCUCGGUCCAGUUGAAUGUACUUUGAAAGGAAGCACCGGCACACUUCGUGCCAGCAGCCGCGGUAAUACGAGGGGUGCAAGCGUUGUUCGGAAUCACUGGGCGUAAAGGGAGCGCAGGCGGAAGUGCAAGCGGUCUGUACAAUACCGGGGCCCAACCCCGGACCUGCAGACCGGACUGCGUUUCUUGGAUAGUUCAGGGGCAAGCGGAAUUCCUGGUGUAGCGGUGGAAUGCGUAGAGAUCAGGAAGAACACCGAUGGCGAAGGCAGCUUGCUGGGGAAUUAUCGACGCUCAGGCUCGAAAGUGCGGGUAGCGAACAGGAUUAGAUACCCUGGUA